UACUGGCGGGAGUUUACAGGUGGGUACAGAGAUUGGUGGGAGUUUACAGGCGAGUACAGAGAUUGACGGGAUUUUGCUGGUGGGAGUUUACAGGCGGGUACAGCGAUUGGUGGGAGUUUACAGGCGGGAGUUUACAGGCGAGUACAUAGAUUGAUGGGACUUUACUGGCGGGAGUUUACAGGCAAGUACAGAGACAGGCGGGAGUUUACAGGUGGGAGUUUACAGGCAAGUACAGAGACAGGCGGGAGUUUACAGGUGGGAGUUUACAGGCGGGUACAGAGAUUGGUGGGAGUUUAAAGGUGGGAGUUUACAGGCGAGUACAUAGAUUGAUGGGACUUUACUGGCGGGAGUUUACAGGCAAGUACAGAGACAGGCGGGAGUUUACAGGUGGGAGUUUACAGGUGGGAGUUUACAGGCAAGUACAGAGACAGGCGGGAGUUUACAGGUGGGAGCUUACAGGCGAGUACAGAGACAGGCGGAAGUUUACUGGCGGGAGUUUACAGGCGAGUACAGAGACAGGCGGGAGUUUACAGGCAAGUACAGAGACAGGCGGGAGUUUACAGGCGGGAGGUUACAGGUGGGAGUUUACAGGCGAGGGUUUACAGGGGAGUACAGAGACAGGCGGGAGUUUACAGGCGCGAGUUUACAGGUGGGAGUUUACAGGCGGGGGUUUACAGGGGAGUACAGAGACAGGCAGGAGUUUACUGGCGGGAGUUUACAGGUGGGAGUUUACUGGCGGGAGUUUACAGGCGCGAGUUUACAGGAAUGAGUUUACAGGCGCGAGUUUACAGGCGAGUACAGAGACAGGCGGGAGUUUACAGGCGGGAGUUUACAGGCGCGAGUUUACAGGUGAGUACAGAGACAGACGGGAGUUUACUGGUGGGAGUUUACAGGCGGGAGUACAGAGAUUGACUGGACUUUACUGGCGGGAAUUUACAGGCAAGUACAGAGACAGAGUUUACUGGCGGGAGUUUACAGGUGGGAGUUUACAGGCGGGGCUUUACAGGGGAGUACAGAGAUUGACUGGACUUUACUGGUGGGAGUUUACAGGCAAGUACAGAGACAGAGUUUACUGGUGGGAGUUUACAGGCGGGGGUUUACAGGUGGGAGUUUACAGGCAAGUACAGAGACAGGAAGGCAUUUACAAAGACAGGUGAGAGGCUUGUGUAGCCAUGACAUUAUCAGCACACCAUUCCCAGAAAUGAUCUCACCAUGCAUUGACUCAGGAGGACAAAGCUUAUCAUGAAAAAACACCCUGCAUUUAAAAUGUUAUCUUUUCAGCAUUUAAGAAAGUGUAAUUAAAGUGUAAUGCUAAG
ensembl:lncRNA